rnacentral:rRNA from 1 species
AUUGAACGCUGGCGGCAUGCUUUACACAUGCAAGUCGAACGGUAACAGGCCGCAAGGUGCUGACGAGUGGCGGACGGGUGCGUAAUGCAUCGGAACGUGCCCAGUCGUGGGGGAUAACUACUCGAAAGAGUAGCUAAUACCGCAUACGAUCUAUGGAUGAAAGCGGGGGACCGUAAGGCCUCGCGCGAUUGGAGCGGCCGAUGUCAGAUUAGGUAGUUGGUGGGGUAAAGGCUCACCAAGCCAACGAUCUGUAGCUGGUCUGAGAGGACGACCAGCCACACUGGGACUGAGACACGGCCCAGACUCCUACGGGAGGCAGCAGUGGGGAAUUUUGGACAAUGGGCGCAAGCCUGAUCCAGCAAUGCCGCGUGCAGGAAGAAGGCCUUCGGGUUGUAAACUGCUUUUGUACGGAACGAAACGGCUCUGGUUAAUACCCGGGGCUAAUGACGGUACCGUAAGAAUAAGCGCCGGCUAACUACGUG